rnacentral:ncRNA from 1 species
AUGGUGUCUCCCGCAGCUGGUUCGGCCGCCGGUCCACGGUGGUCGAGGCAAGAGGGAACCCGGUGGAACUCCGGGACUGCCCCGCAGCGGUGAGUGGGAACGACCGCCGUCAACGAAGCACUGGGCCGCGAGGCCUGGGAAGCGACGGCCAGUAGGCGACCGAGUGUCACGCCCGCGAGUCCGAAGACCUGCCAGCGCGCCGCACGCGUC